rnacentral:rRNA from 1 species
GACGAACGCUGGCGGCGUGCUUAACACAUGCAAGUCGAACGGAAAGGCCCUGCUUUUGUGGGGUGCUCGAGUGGCGAACGGGUGAGUAACACGUGAGUAACCUGCCCUUGACUUUGGGAUAACUUCAGGAAACUGGGGCUAAUACCGGAUAGGAGCUCCUGCUGCAUGGUGGGGGUUGGAGAGUGUCGGCUGUUGGGGAUGGACUCGCGGCUUAUCAGCUUGUUGGUGGGGUAGGGGCUGACCAAGGCUGUGACGGGUAGCCGGCCUGAGAGGGUGACCGGCCACAUUGCGACUGAGAGACGGCCCAGACUCCUACGGGAGGCAGCAGUGGGGAAUAUUGCACAAUGGGCGGAAGCGUGAUGCAGCGACGUCGCGUGCGGGAUGACGUCUUUCGGGUUGUAAACCGCUUUCGCCUGUGACGAAGCGUGAGUGACGGUAAUUGGUAAAGAAGCACCGGCUAACUACGUG